rnacentral:rRNA from 1 species
UACGUAGGCAGCGAGCGUUGUUCGGAGUUACUGGGCGUAAAGAGUGCGUAGGCGGUUUUCUAAGUUUGGUGUGAAAUCUCCCGGCUCAACUGGGAGGGUGCGCCGAAGACUGGAAGGCUUGAGUAUGGGAGAGGUAAGCGGAAUUCCUGGUGUAGCGGUGAAAUGCGCAGAUAUCAGGAGGAACACCGGUGGCGAAGGCGGAUCUCUGGGCCUGUCCUGACGCUCAGGCGCGAAAGCUAGGGGAGCAAACAGG